UACGUAGGUGGCAAGCGUUGUCCGGAAUUAUUGGGCGUAAAGGGAGCGCAGGUGGGAAUGUAAGUCAAUCUUAAAAGUGCGGGGCUCAACCCCGUGAUGGGAUAGAAACUACAUUUCUUGAGUGCAGGAGAGGAAAGUGGAAUUCCUAGUGUAGCGGUGAAAUUCGUAGAUAUUCGCAAGAACACCAGUGGCGAAGGCGGCUUCCUGGACCGACACUGACGCUGAGGCGCGAAAGCUAGGGGAGCAAACGGG
rnacentral:rRNA from 1 species